rnacentral:rRNA from 1 species
GGCAGCAGUGGGGAAUAUUGCACAAUGGGCGCAAGCCUGAUGCAGCCAUGCCGCGUGUGUGAAGAAGGCCUUCGGGUUGUAAAGCACUUUCAGCGGGGAGGAAGGCGUUAAGGUUAAUAACCUUGGCGAUUGACGUUACCCGCAGAAGAAGCACCGGCUAACUCCGUGCCAGCAGCCGCGGUAAUACGGAGGGUGCAAGCGUUAAUCGGAAUUACUGGGCGUAAAGCGCACGCAGGCGGUCUGUCAAGUCGGAUGUGAAAUCCCCGGGCUCAACCUGGGAACUGCAUUCGAAACUGGCAGGCUAGAGUCUUGUAGCGGGGGGUAGAAUUCCAGGUGUAGCGGUGAAAUGCCUAGAGAUCUGGAGGAAUACCGGUGGCGGAGGCGGCCCCCUGGACAAAGACUGACGCUCAGGUGCGAAAGCGUGGGGAGCAAACAGGAUUAGAUACCCUGGUAGUCCACGCCGUAAACGAUGUCGAUUUGGAGGUUGUGCCCUUGAGGCGUGGCUUCCGGAGCUAACGCGUUAAAUCGACCGCCUGGGGAGUACGGCCGCAAGGUUAAAACUCAAAUGAAUUGACGGGGGCCCGCACAAGCGGUGGAGCAUGUGGUUUAAUUCGAUGCAACGCGAAGAACCUUACCUGGUCUUGACAUCCACAGAACUUAGCAGAGAUGCUUUGGUGCCUUCGGGAACUGUGAGACAGGUGCUGCAUGGCUGUCGUCAGCUCGUGUUGUGAAAUGUUGGGUUAAGUCCCGCAACGAGCGCAACCCUUAUCCUUUGUUGCCAGCGGUCCGGCCGGGAACUCAAAGGAGACUGCCAGUGAUAAACUGGAGGAAGGUGGGGAUGACGUCAAGCCAUCAUGGCCCUUACGACCAGGGCUACACACGUGCUACAAUGGCAUAUACAAAGAGAAGCGACCUCGCGAGAGCAAGCGGACCUCAUAAAGUAUGUCGUAGUCCGGAUUGGAGUCUGCAACUCGACUCCAUGAAGUCGGAAUCGCUAGUAAUCGUAGAUCAGAAUGCUACGGUGAAUACGUUCCCGGGCCUUGUACACACCGCCCGUCACACCAUGGGAGUGGGUUGCAAAAGAAGUAGGUAGCUUAACCUUCGGGAGGGCGCUUACCACUUUGUGAUUCAUGACUGGGGUGAAGUCGUAACAAGGUAACCGUAGGGGAACCUGCGGUUG